rnacentral:lncRNA from 1 species
CUUCUCAACGCAGCUUUCCCAGCAGCUUAGGAUAUCGGUUUUUGUUGGACUUGAAAUUGGGAGUUGAGGGCGGCCUGGAGGCGCUCGGGAAGGAGAUUUGGGGUGCGGCUGCUUAUAAAGAUGUUGCCUUUUACCCCAGCAGUCCCCCGCCCCCUACGCGGGGUGGUGGCAGGAAACCGGUUCCUGAGUUUUCCUUCUUUCUCUUCCUCGACACGACCUCCCCACCAGUGUGUUUCUGUUUAUCCUCCUCGCCCGGGGGCUGGGUCCCUGGCGAAGCCUCGUUUUCACCCACCCACCCCCAAGCCAGAGCUCACCAGUGAUGUAAUGCGGGACCCGCGCGGGGAGGGGAAACGGCAGCCUCAACCGCCUGGCAGCGGCGGUUUCUUCUCUUCGUGAAAAUCGUGAUCUCAUCUCUCCGUCCAUGGGCGAAAAAACAGCCAUCACCAGGCCAUUCACGCUUUGUGCUUUUGUUAGCAGAGCCCAGGCAGCCCUGCAGCCCACAUCUAGGGUACAAACGGAACGGCGGCGUUUUCCUUGUAUCAUUUAGAGGAAAUUUUUGAGCUGAACAGUAUUUUUUUUCUCCCUCUCUCUCUCUCUGAAAUAUUGCUGAGAUUUAAAGGAGGACGAAGACAACAGAUUCAUAGCUGGGUCUUGCUGUUUUCCUGACGCUGACCACAGCGGAUCUAGGUGGCUAUUUCGUUGGUGCACAGGCGUUCACAGAGGCAGAGAGGGGAGAAAGUUGUCAAACAGAUUCACAGACUGUCAAAGUGCGGCUUAAACCGAGUUCCUGGGCUCCCUCACUGGCUUCGUCCACUUAAACUUUUAACGUACACAUGUAGAGAGCUGAAACUCCAGGGGUAACAUGGGACAGGUCCUCUUGAUUUAAUGAAAACAGAAGAUCAACUGGACCGGGUAGCAAGAAAUAAGGCUUAAGAAGCACUGGGUAGGUGACAGGAGUGGUGGGCUUGAGGACCAACUGAGGGGUGGUGUUCAGAUACUCCUAACCAGAAAGUCUGUCCCCCGAUUUCUCCAGGUUGGGCCUCACCCUAUGAGCAGGGAACCCACCUUCCCCCUCAACAAAAGAAAAGAUGACUUUGGAAUGUUCUGGAUUCCCACAGCUGGGAAUGUUCCUACUUUUUUUUCAGUUUCUCUGCAGAAGACAGCAAGAUGCCCCAGGGAAUGUUUGUGAAAAAGGAUGACUGGAUGGGAAGCAAGCUGAAGAAAAAGAAGGAAAGAAAGAGAGAAAUCAGUAAAUCACCACACAAGAGGUGGAGAAGAGGACUUAUAAAUAUUGUUUCUAUGACAUUUGAAAAUAAAUGUUUUACUCCAUGCUAA